rnacentral:sRNA from 1 species
GCGGAGACGCAUGUUUCCGUUCACUCCUCACACCACACUCCGCCUGAGCAUCCGUGUUCAGGCGGUU